AUUGAGCUGUUGAUCCACCAAAAGGGCCUCCGAACCUUAAAGAGCUCAUUGCCAAGGCCGUCAGUUACGUAAGCCACAAAUGGGCGCCUUGUACGAAGAAACUGUCUUGCAAGGAGAUUACUUUGUUCACGAAUGAAACCUACAGGCGAUUGUGGGAAGCAGACAUCCAUGACUGCAUAUCGGUUUUCUUGCUCAAAACCAAGCAUAAGAUUAGCCCACUCUAUAUCUCUUGUUAUCAGCAAGUUAGAUCUUGCAAGAAGAGGUGCAACCAUGGCCUCCUCAACUGAUGUUGGCUCCAAAAUACCUGUCACAGAUUGGCUUGUAGGUGGUUGCUUGAGAACUGGAUUGACUUUCUUGUGAGGUGUCACUUCAGGAAUGGAGGCACCUGAGAACAUUUUUUUGAACCCAACUUGGAAAAAUGUGUCAAAACCUGUUGUUCCUCUCUGGUCUACAGUAUUUCUCAAUUUUCUUUUUUGUUUUUUUCCAAAUCUUUGUUUCUUUUUGUCAGCAAGCCAACGCUGCACAGAAGAAGCCCUUUUCAAAUCAGGACCAUCUCCCGACCUCUUCCCAUAUUGUCGAGAUGCAACAAUUCCACCUGGUCCUGCCCCUUGGGCAAUGCCAGUAACAAAUCCAGGCAGCUUAGCCCUCCCUAGCAUAUUUCCUUCAAAGGUCAAUUCUCUACAACGAUUUCCAGUUUGAUUAAGCGAAGACGAUAGGUAUCUUCUUUGUAACUGUGAUUGGACAGAAGAACUGUUUUUAACAUCAAAAAUCCCAUUCCAACG
rnacentral:misc_RNA from 1 species